UACUUCGGCCCUUUAUGGCACUUGGCUUAAAGAAUCGAUUAGCGAUAUUGUCACGUCGAUGGGAAAGUUUAUGCAGAAGAGGAAAACAAGAUGCGUUUGGUUGUAACUUGGCGAGGGAAUGUAGGUUAUGGUGCAAGCGAUGAAAUAAAUGCCAUAUUGUGCCUACCGCUCUUGUCCCAGAAGCAGAGCAGCACAGGCGGACCAGACUGGACUUGUGUCAUCGUUGGAUUUACGUCUGGCUAUGUGGCUAUGUAUACUGAAUGUGGACUGGUCCUGUUAUCACAAUCUUUGAAGAAGGGCC